GAUGAACGCUGGCGGCGUGCCUAAUACAUGCAAGUCGAGCGCGAGAGUGAGGAGCUUGCUCCUCAUGAUCGAGCGGCGGACGGGUGAGUAACACGUAGGCAACCUACCCUUGAGAUUGGGAUAACUACCGGAAACGGUAGCUGAUACCGGAUACGACUUUUCCACAUAAGUGGAAUGGUUAAAAGGCGGAUUUAUCUGCCGCUCAUGGAUGGGCCUGCGGUGCAUUAGCUAGUUGGUGAGGUAGUGGCUCACCAAGGCGACGAUGCAUAGCCGACCUGAGAGGGUGAUCGGCCACACUGGGACUGAGACACGGCCCAGACUCCUGCGGGAGGCAGCAGUAGGGAAUCUUCCGCAAUGGACGCAAGUCUGACGGAGCAACGCCGCGUGAGUGAUGAAGGGUUUCGGCUCGUAAAACUCUGUUGUUAAGGAAGAACACUUGAGGUAGUAACUGGCCUUGAGAUGACGGUACUUAACCAGAAAGCCACGGCUAACUACGUGCCAGCCGCCGCAGUAA
rnacentral:rRNA from 1 species